rnacentral:misc_RNA from 1 species
GUGACUUGUUUUGAUUUAGUUGCGGCGAUCGGACGAGUAUCUCACAAAAAUAGGCGUUUGCGGCGAACCCCGAUGCGGUGAUUGUAUCAGCGACAUUUUGCCACGAGGGAGUUGCCGAGAAUGAGCCGGCACUGAUCUAUUUGUGUGAAAUGGAAGGUGAAAGGUCAGUAUUUUUGAUAAUUGUGCCACUGACAAUGAUGAGCAGUUGGCCGUGCAUAUUAAACUGAUAAACUGUGGCUAGAAAACUGAUAUAUCGUAGACAUUAUGUUCGUUGCGGCAAUAGUGGCGCGAGUUCCACGUGCCAUUGGGGCUGAUAUUGCUAAUUUAUAUUAUUUACUUUGUAUUUGAGCCUUAGAUCUAGCAUAUUGUAAAAACUGGUACAUUUUCUCGUGCAUUUGGGCAGUGGCAGGUGUGAUAGGUUGUACUGUUGUGUGUCACCAGCUGAGCGUGAUCCAGCUGAGGCACCAGACGGGAGCCAGUCGAGUGUGAGCCGACUGGCCACUUGUCUCACCGCUGCGCCAAAACACAUCUGUGUCCUAACGUCGCAGCCAUCGACGAGCGGCGGUGGCACCCCGAGGAUGGACGACGACACGCCGCUGGGGGUACAGCGGCGUUCCGAGGGACGACACGCCGGUGGGGACAGCAGCGCUCUGAUGACGACACGCCGCUGGGAGUACAGCGGCGCUCUGAUGACGACACGUCGCUGGCAGUGCAGCGAUUCCAGCGCGUGGACGCAAGAUGCCGGCGGCGAGAGGCCCGCCGCUGCUGGUCGCGGCGGACUCAGCGCGCUGGCGGGGACUGACUCGCCGGUGGUCGCGACACACGAGCGCGGCUAGCCAGCAGCGAGAGCGGCGGGCGGCGCGCGCCUGAGGCAUGCGGCCUCGGAGCGGUGCGCCGCGAGCGACUGCUCCUGGUCCGGCCGUUAUUUGGAGCGGCCCGCGCCGUGCUGAGCGGCGUCUGGCAGCCCUGAUAGUGAUUCGUGUUGUGCGCGGUCCGCGUUGUUCGGCCCGCUCCGGACACUGAGUGUGGUCCGAGGUGACAUAAAGACAACGUGCUCGGCUGUGAAGGUGAUAUUUUGGUUGCGCCGUGAUUGUGAGGCGUUCUAAGCGAUAGUUACUGCCAUCGGUACGCGGGUUUGCUGCGCUGUUCGUACAGUUCGUACGGUGGAUGAUAGAUACUGGUCUCCAGUGAUACGUGCCUCAGGAAGUUCAGGGAGUUUUCCUCCGAAAACUGGGGGGAGGAUGUUGUGACUUGUUUUGAUUUAGUUGCGGCGAUCGGACGAGUAUCUCACAAAAAUAGGCGUUUGCGGCGAACCCCGAUGCGGUGAUUGUAUCAGCGACAUUUUGCCACGAGGGAGUUGCCGAGAAUGAGCCGGCACUGAUCUAUUUGUGUGAAAUGGAAGGUGAAAGGUCAGUAUUUUUGAUAAUUGUGCCACUGACAAUGAUGAGCAGUUGGCCGUGCAUAUUAAACUGAUAAACUGUGGCUAGAAAACUGAUAUAUCGUAGACAUUAUGUUCGUUGCGGCAAUAGUGGCGCGAGUUCCACGUGCCAUUGGGGCUGAUAUUGCUAAUUUAUAUUAUUUACUUUGUAUUUGAGCCUUAGAUCUAGCAUAUUGUAAAAACUGGUACAUUUUCUCGUGCAUUUGGGCAGUGGCAGGUGUGAUAGGUUGUACUGUUGUGUGUCACCAGCUGAGCGUGAUCCAGCUGAGGCACCAGACGGGAGCCAGUCGAGUGUGAGCCGACUGGCCACUUGUCUCACCGCUGCGCCAAAACACAUCUGGUCAGUAAUUACUAUCUUUAUUUGUAACAGAACAAAUGCCAGUUGUACCUUGUCAUUUCUGCUGAUUGAAUUUAUUUGCAUUCAUUCUGGCAGAUGUGCAUUUGUAUCCGCAUUUCAUACAAUGUGUGAACUGUCCGCAUCAAUGUCCGCAUUUGAUCCUUGGUUAUGUUGUAUGUGUGAUUAUUGGUUGUUCUUUUGCAGAAAACCACUCUUUGGACUCUUUCUGCACACAUAUGCUCUGGCUUGCUAUCAUGUUCCACAAUACCAUGUCUUUCCUAUGUA